GAUAUUUGUGGUAAUUCUAUAAUUAAUACAUACGCAAUUGCGGCAUAUUAAAUGAAACACAAAGAGCGAGAGUUCUUAGUAAAGGAUUGUUUUUAUGCAUGGAUCACAUACAUGUAAGUGAGAGUCCUUAAAAGUUUCUGACCUAUCAGGUAUCGACGGUUGGGUAUUGGCUAACCGUGCCGUUUACGGGUAACGGGGGGUUAGGGUUUGAUUCCGGAGAAGGAGCAUGAGAGACGGCUACUACGUCUAAGGAAGGCAGCAGGCGCGUAAAUUACCAAUCCUCAAUACGGGGAGGUAGUAAAUAGAAAUAAUGACGCAGGGAUUAAUUUUCUGCGAUCGGAAUGAAAAGCUCUUAAACAAAGCUAUAAAAACUAUUGGAGGGCAAGUCUGGUGCCAGCAGCCGCGGUAAUUCCAGCUCCAAUGGCGUAUAUUAAAGUUGUUGCAGUUAAAAUGCUCGUAGUCGGCUCUUUACCUUUAAGCUUCCGCACUGCUAUUGCAUGUGGUGCAUAAAAGGAGUUAAAAGUUGUCACAUUUAGUGGGUUACUUUUAUUGAUACUUUGAGUGAAUCGUAGUGCUUCGCACAGGCCACAGUCAUAUACGAUCUACCAUGGAAUAUCCAUAUUCUGAAUGCGUCGGCUUUGGUUUCUCCGUCGCUUUUUACACAAAUAUGAACGGCUGAGGGUAUUUAUAUUCAACUGUUAGAGGUGAAAUUCUUUGAUUAGUUGAGGAUAAACUAAUGCGAAAGCAUCUGCCAAAGACGUUUUAGUUGAUCAAGAACGAAAGUUAGGUGAUCGAAGAUGAUUAGAUACCGUUGUAGUCCUAACUAUAAACGAUGUU
rnacentral:rRNA from 1 species